CUCCUAUUCAGACCAGGUCAUAUCCUCCUAUUCAGACCAGGUCAUAUCCUCCUAUUCAGACUAGGUCACAUCCUCCUCCUCCUAUUCAGAACAGGUCAUAUCCUCCUGUUCAGACUAGGUCACAUCCUCCUAUUCAGACCAGGUCAUAUCCUCCUAUUCAGACCAGGUCACAUCCUCCUAUUCAGACAAGGUCACAUCCUCCUAUUCAGACCAGGUCACAUCCUCCUAUUCAGACCAGGUCACAUCCUCCUAUUCAGACAAGGUCACAUCCUCCUCCUCCUAUUCAGAACAGGUCAUAUCCUCCUGUUCAGACUAGGUCACAUCCUCCUAUUCAGACCAGGUCACAUCAUCCUAUUCAGACCAGGUCACAUCAUCCUAUUCAGACCAGGUCACAUCCUCCUAUUAAGACCAGGUCACAUCCUCCUAUUCAGACCAGGUCAUAUCCU
ensembl:lncRNA